CGCCUGCGCACUAAGCGCGCCGCGCGGCCUCUUUCCCGCGGAAGGGAGCGCCGGGCCACGCCGCGGGGCGGGGCGCCAGCGGCCGUGCCCUCGCCGGAUGCGAAACGAGGUGCCGGAAACUUGAAACCCCACAGAGAACAACGUGUCCACUUAGACGGCGUGUUUGUGUUCCAGUCUCGGGGUGCUCGGCGCCGGGGGCCGGUUGCUGGAAGUUGGAGCUGUCCUCCCGCAGAACCGGCACGGGGAGCAGGAGAGUACGAAGUUUAUGCCUUAAAAUACUUGAAGUCUGGCUUUUUGAUAUGCUUCCUCGGUAAAUGUAAGAGUUUUCAAAAUGUAAACCUGAAGCAGUGGAACGUUUCUGUUUAAACUUUGCAACUCCUCGGAUGAGGAGAUUGAAUUUAUAGUUUAAUGCACUGUUGAGAUUUUUUUCAAAUGAGGCAAAUAAAUUCUUUCUAUAUUGUG